rnacentral:rRNA from 1 species
AGAGUUUGAUCAUGGCUCAGAAUGAACGCUGGCGGUGUGGAUAAGGCAUGCAAGUCAAACGGUCGCGUUUACGCGAUAGUGGCGAAUGGGUUAGUAACACGUAACUACUUACCCAAUACACAGGCAUAACCCAAAGAAAUUUGGAUUAAUUCCUGGUAGUCUGGCAUUUAUUGUCAGUAGAGGCGCAAGCCGGUAUUGGACAGGGUUGCGGUCUAUCAGCUUGAAGGUGGGGUAAUGGCCUACCUUGGCUAUGACGGAUAGGGGGUGUGAGAGCAUGUUCCCCAACAAUGGUACUGAGACACGGACCAUACUCCUACGGGAGGCAGCAGUCGAGAAUAUUAGGCAAUGGGCGAAAGCCUGACCUAGCGACACCGCGUGCUUGAAGAAGCCCUUCGGGGUGUAAAGAGCUUUUCUAAAAGAACAAGUCGCGUUUCACUAUUGUUCAGCGGUUUUUGAAUUUGAACAAUAAAACGAUGAAUAGUAGCGAGGCGCGAUUGAGCGUAUUUUAGGAAUAAGGGGCUGCUAACUCUGUGCCAGCAGCAGCGGUAAUACAGAGGCCCCAAGCGUUAUCCGGAUUUAUUGGGCGUAAAGAGUUCGUAGGCGUUUUAUUAGGUUCUUCGUUAAACACCAGCGCUUAACGUUGGGAAUGCGGGGAAAACCAGUAAAAUAGAGGACGUUAGAGGCAGAUAGAACAUUCGGUGUAGGGGUGAAAUCCGUUGAUAUCGAAUGGAAUACCAAAUGCGAAGGCAGCUAGCUGGGCCAUUUCUGACGCUGAGGAACGAAAGCGUGGGGAGCGAACGGGAUUAGAUACCCCGGUAGUCCACGCCGUAAACGAUGGAUACUAGGCAUUGGCGGCAUCGGUCCCCUCAGUGCCGUAGCUAACGCGUUAAGUAUCCCGCCUGGGGAGUACGGUCGCAAGACUAAAACUCAAAGGAAUUGACGGGGACCCGCACAAGCGGUGGAGCACGUGGUUUAGUUCGACAGUAAGCGGAGCACCUCACCAGGUCUUGCAUCCUGCGGAAAGCUUUAGGAAACUAUCGCCCUCCUUUUGGACUGCAGUGACAGGUGCUGCACGGUUGUCGUCAGCUCGUGUCGUGAGAUGUAUGGUUAAGUCCAGUAACGAGCGCAACCCCUAUGUUGUGUUGUAUUUUUCACAACAGACUGCCCUGGUUAACAGGGAGGAAGGUGGGGAUGACGUCAAAUCAGCGUGGCCCUUAUGGCCUGGGCGACACACAUGCUACAAUGGCCAGGAACAACGGGUUGCUAAAUCGUAAGAUGGAGCUAAUCCCUUAAAACUGGUCCCAGUUCGGAUUGCAGGCUGCAACUCGCCUGCAUGAAGCCGGAAUCGCUAGUAACCGUGAAUCAGCCAUGUCGCGGUGAAUACGUUCUCGGGUCUUGUACACACCGCCCGUCAUACCACGAAAGUCAGGGGCACCCGAAACUCCAUUUAUGGGACUAAGGUGAAACUGAUGAUUGGGGUA